rnacentral:rRNA from 1 species
UGGGGAAUAUUGGGCAAUGGGCGAAAGCCUGACCCAGCAACGCCGCGUGAAGUAUGAAGGCCUUCGGGUUGUAAACUUCUUUGAUCAGGGAAGAAACAAAUGACGGUACCUGAAAAACAAGCCACGGCUAACUACGUGCCAGCAGCCGCGGUAAUACGUAGGUGGCGAGCGUUAUCCGGAUUUACUGGGUGUAAAGGGCGUGCAGGCGGGCUGAUAAGUCAGAUGUGAAAUCCCCGAGCUUAACUCGGGAACUGCAUCUGAUACUGUUGGUCUUGAGUGCUGGAGAGGAUAGUGGAAUUCCUAGUGUAGCGGUAAAAUGCGCAGAUAUUAGGAGGAACACCAGUGGCGAAGGCGGCUAUCUGGACAGUAACUGACGCUGAGGCGCGAAAGCGGGGGUAGCAAACAGG